AUUGAACGCUGGCGGCAGGCCUAACACAUGCAAGUCGAGCGGAGCGGCGGACGGGUGAGUAAUGCCUAGGACUCUGCCUGGAAGUGGGGGAUAACGUCCGGAAACGGGCGCUAAUACCGCAUACUAUCAGAUGAGCCUAGGUCGGAUUAGCUUGUUGGUGGGGUAAAGGCCUACCAAGGCGACGAUCCGUAACUGGUCUGAGCGGAUGAGCAGUCAAACUGGGACUGGGACACGGUCCAUACGCCUACGGGAGGCAGCAGUGGGGAAUAUUGGACAAUGGGCGAAAGCCUGAUUCAGCCAUGCCGCGUGUGUGAAGAAGGUCUUCGGAUUGUAAAGCACUUUAAGUUGGGAGGCGUUACCAACAGAAGAAGCACCGGCUAACUUCGUGCCAGCAGCCGCGGUAAUUC
rnacentral:rRNA from 1 species